AGAUUAAGCCAUGCAUGUCUAAGUAUAAGCAUUUAUACUGUGAAACUGCGAAUGGCUCAUUAAAUCAGUUAUAGUUUAUUUGAUAAUACUUACUACUUGGAUAACCGUAGUAAUUCUAGAGCUAAUACAUGCGUCAAAUCCCGACUUACGAAGGGAUGUAUUUAUUAGAUAAAAACCAAUGCGUGGCAACACGGACAUGUGGUGAUUCAUGAUAACUUUGCGAAUCGUAU
rnacentral:rRNA from 1 species